UCGGGAAUUUUGGGCAAUGGGCGAAAGCCUGACCCAGCAACGCCGCGUGAAGGAUGAAGUAUUUCGGUAUGUAAACUUCGAAAGAAUAGGAAGAAUAAAUGACGGUACUAUUUGUAAGGUCCGGCUAACUACGUGCCAGCAGCCGCGGUAAUACGUAGGGACCAAGCGUUGUUCGGAUUUACUGGGCGUAAAGGGUGCGUAGGCGGCAUAUCAAGUCACUUGUGAAAUCUCCGGGCUUAACUCGGAACUGCCAAGUGAUACUGAUGUGCUAGAGUGCAGAAAGGGCAACUGGAAUUCUUGGUGUAGCGGUGAAAUGCGUAGAUAUCAAGAGGAACACCUGAGGCGAAGGCGAGUUGCUAGGCUGACACUGACGCUGAGGUACGAAAGCUAGGGGAGCGAACGGGAUUAGAUACCCCAGUAGUCCCUGAGCGGGCUGGCAAGGCGCAU
rnacentral:rRNA from 1 species